rnacentral:rRNA from 1 species
UACGUAGGGUGCGAGCGUUAAUCGGAAUUACUGGGCGUAGAGCGUGCGCAGGCGGUUUUGUAAGCCAGAUGUGAAAUCCCCGGGCUCAACCUGGGAAUGGCAUUUGGGACUGCAAGGCUGGAGUGUGGCAGAGGAGACUGGAAUUCCCGGUGUAGCAGUGAAAUGCGUAGAUAUCGGGAGGAAUACCGAUGGCGAAGGCAGGUCUCUGGGCUGACACUGACGCUCAUGCACGAAAGCGUGGGGAGCAAACAGG